CAUCUGCGUGAGCAGGGCUGCGUGUCAAGUCUAUGGACUCGACUCUUGCACAUCUACGUCUUAGGUUUGCGCCAAUUCGUGGUAAGCUUGGGUCAAAGAGACUCAUAGGUGUUAUAAAGACUCGCUGGUGUUUGUCUCCUUGAGGCAUACGGCUUUAACCAAAACUCUCAAAGUUUGACCUCAAAUCAGGUAGGAGUACCCGCUGAACUUAAGCAUAUCAAUAAGCGGAGGAAAAGAAACCAACCGGGAUUGCCUUAGUAACGGCGAGUGAAGCGGCAAAAGCUCAAAUUUGAAAUCUGGCGUCUUCGACGUCCGAGUUGUAAUUUGAAGAAGGCGACUUUGUAGCUGGUCCUUGUCUAUGUUCCUUGGAACAGGACGUCAUAGAGGGUGAGAAUCCCGUGUGGCGAGGAUCCCAGUUAUUUGUAAAGUGCUUUCGACGAGUCGAGUUGUUUGGGAAUGCAGCUCUAAGUGGGUGGUAAAUUCCAUCUAAAGCUAAAUAUUGGCGAGAGACCGAUAGCGAACAAGUACAGUGAUGGAAAGAUGAAAAGAACUUUGAAAAGAGAGUGAAAAAGUACGUGAAAUUGUUGAAAGGGAAGGGCAUUUGAUCAGACAUGGCGUUUGCUUCGGCUUUCGCUGGGCCAGCAUCAGUUUUAGCGGUUGGAUAAAUCCUCGGGAAUGUGGCUCUGCUUCGGUAGAGUGUUAUAGCCCGUGGGAAUACAGCCAGCUGGGACUGAGGAUUGCGACUUUUGUCAAGGAUGCUGGCGUAAUGGUUAAAUGCCGCCCGUCUUGAAACACGGACCAAGGAGUCUAACGUCUAUGCGAGUGUUUGGGUGUAAAACCCGUACGCGUAAUGAAAGUGAACGUAGGUGAGGGCCCGCAAGGGUGCAUCAUCGACCGAUCCUGAUGUCUUCGGAUG
rnacentral:rRNA from 1 species